UGGUCGCGCCUCUCCCAGGGUCCAGGGGUCCUUUUGCGGUCCGCGGUGUUUUCCUAGGGCUUCCCGUGUUCAGACAAAGGAGCGGGCAACUUUCCACCGUCUGCGGAACGGAGCGACGGCGCGUUUCGGUCGUUCGCAGUUACGGGUGCAGAGUAGAAAAUUCUGUGCCCCGGCUGCCCACCUGGGUCCUCACUUUCGCUGCCUCGGCCGACUUAGUUCAUUGCGCUUGUGACUUCUGCAGUUGUCUCUGAAUUUUCCUACAAAUUAAGGAGCAAGACCAGUACUGGUUGUUGCAGGUGAUUUCUUAAGGAUGGUUUCACGGACAAGCGUUGGGAUUCAUAUGAACAGAUGGAUCGGCGCAGGAUGUAGACCGUUGUCUUGAUGUGCUUUUUUUGGUUGUGGUUAAAUGUACAUAACAAAAAUUGCCCUUUUAACCAUUUUUAAGUGUGUAGCUCUGUGGCAUUAAGAACACAUUCCAUGCAUUGCCCUUAAAGACAUUCUGAAGAUAACAGCUGGCUACUUAGACAGUGUUAUAUUAAAAGUGUACAGAUAAAUGUGUUUGUGUAUUUUCUCACCAAAUGGUAGAGAAUCAAGUGACUUUCAUGUGGGACAUGAAGCGAUAAUUGGACGCAAAACCAGAAGGGGAAGGUGCAUUUUAGUAGGCUAACUAAAAAUAAGUAGGCAAACGCUGAGAGGGUAGGGGUAAUGAUAGGGUACAGCAGAGCAGGCGAGAUCAUUAACACUCAUUUCCAGAUACCCACCACAGUGUCUCUGAUUCUCUGAUAAUUUCUACAACUUGGUAAGAAGAAACGGAUUAAUGUUUCAUCCUUGACACUUUAUUUUCCCUCAUUGAAGAACGAAUUGUUCGCAGGUUGAAUGUCACUUUUUUUAAGUGAGCCAUCGUCGUUGUAUUUGGUUAUCAGAUAAAGAUAAUUUAAAAGCAAAAUUUCUCAGCUAUUUAAAAUUAUAUCGGAUAUCUUUUUUUAUACUUUCAUUUUGGAAAGCAUUACAUUCAAAGAAAGCAUAUAUUCAGAAAUAUUUCUAUGAGAGAGGUUAGCUAACUCUGAAAGCAUUCAGAUAUGACUUGAUAAACAUUUGUACCUGCUACCAAAAUGGUAGAUUAAAAAGAGCAAAAACCGGGGCGCCUGGGUGGCUCCGUCGGUUUAGGGGCCGACUUCGGCUCAGGUCAUGAUCUCGCGGUCCGUGAGUUCGAGCCCCGCGUCGGGCACUGUGCUGACAGCUCAGAGCCUGGAGCCUGUUUCAGAUUCUGUGUCUCCCUCUCUCUGACCCUCCCCCAUUCAUGCUCUGUCUCUCUCUGUCUGAAAAAUAAAUAAAUAUUUAAAAAAAAAUUAAAAAAAAAAAAAAGAGCAAAAACCAAAA